rnacentral:rRNA from 1 species
GGAGGAAAAGAAACCAACAGGGAUUGCCCUAGUAACGGCGAGUGAAGCGGCAACAGCUCAAAUUUGAAAUCUGGCUCUUUCAGAGUCCGAGUUGUAAUUUGCAGAGGGCGCUUUGGCGUUGGCAGCGGUCCAAGUUCUUUGGAACAGGACGUCACAGAGGGUGAGAAUCCCGUACGUGGUCGCUAGCCAUCACCGUGUAAAGCCCCUUCGACGAGUCGAGUUGUUUGGGAAUGCAGCUCUAAAUGGGAGGUAAAUUUCUUCUAAAGCUAAAUACUGGCCAGAGACCGAUAGCGCACAAGUAGAGUGAUCGAAAGAUGAAAAGCACUUUGGAAAGAGAGUCAAAUAGCACGUGAAAUUGUUGAAAGGGAAGCGCUUGCAGCCAGACUUGCCUGUAGUUGCUUACCUAGACUUUUGUCUGGGGCACUCUUCUGCAGGCAGGCCAGCAUCAGUUUGGGCGGUUGGAUAAAGGUCUCUGUCACGUACCUCCCUUCGGGGAGGCCUUAUAGGGGAGACGUAAUGCAACCAGCCUGGACUGAGGUCCGCGCAUCUGCUAGGAUGCUGGCGUAAUGGCUGUAAGCGGCCCGUCUUGAAACACGGACCAAGGAGUCUAACAUCUAUGCAGUUUGGGG